GCUGCUGGGUCGCACAGGGAGCUCAGCUGGUUGCUCUGUGAUGACAUAGAGGGUGAGAUCGGGGCGGGAGGGGAGAGCUGUAUACAUGGAGCUGAUACACUUUGCUGUACAGCAGAAACACAACAUUGUCAAGCAAUUAUAUUCCAAUAAUAAAAUUCAUUAAUUACAAAAUAAAGGAAAAAGCAAAAAACUAGGAUCUGUCUAAUGCAAACGUGCACCUGCUAUGACACACAGUUACCCCGGAACUGCCCCGUGUGGCGGCUGCCAUGAUCUAUCUGUCUCACUUCGAAGAAGGGAAGCAGGGCUGGGGAGGAGAAAUGACUCGCCCCUUGGGGAGUCACAUAGGCAGUCUGUGACAAAGUCAGCUGACAGCUGGAUUCCAGUGCCAGAUGCAGUCAGGGGCAGACACAUGACCCCAGCCCACAGCAGGAACAUCUAGGAGAGGAAGUUCAAGGAAUCUGAUGCUGACAGUGCACUCUGCCCACAUGCUGACCACAAAGGCUUCUGGGAUGUCUGGGUUCAAACUCCUUUCAGGCUGUUCCAUGCCUCUCUGCCUUCACCCACUGCCCCUGCCCAAGUGCCCUUUCUCGAUCACCUCUCCAGCUCCCACUGUCCUUGGAGACGCAGCUUCAGCUUCACCUUCUCCAAGAGGUCUUUUCUAACCCCGUGGCUCCCUGAGUCCAACUCUGUUGUGGUAUUUGAAUGAAUAAUGAGUGAAUGAAUAAAUGAAUAGCACAUCCACUUUUAUUCAUUCAUUCAGCCAGAAAUAUUUACUGAGCCAAGCACUGAGGAUACAGCCACUGGUCCUUGUCCUCAAGGGGCCUGAGUCUAGAAGGGAGACAGACAUCACAAAGGACAAAAGGGCCUGUGACCUCACUAGCCAGUCAAUGAGGGGCUUCUUGAAGACAUAGAUCUAACCUGAGGCCUAAAAUCGGGGUUAGUUACCCUUUGAAGAGCAGAAGGGGGGUGUUCUUGGCAUUGGGCUGCUAAGAGGAAAAAUGUUCAGCACGGCUGGAGCACCAGUGCUGAACAGAGCAAGGUGAUGAGAGCGUCCUGAUGGAAACCUCAGAGGGGCAGGUCCAGCAGCAGGGGCGCAACAGGAGGACUAACAGAGAGUGGGGCUGCAGAGAGAAAUCGCCCCAAAGAAUGAAUGCAGUGGUCGCUCCGGCGCAGUCAGUCAGUCUCAGGCCAGGGCACGCUGGGUGUGGUGAUCGGUCCUCUGUAGCCCUCCUCCCCACAUUAUCUAGUUUAAUCUCUUCUUCCUUGAAGUAGAGAUGAUUAUCUCCACUUUACAGAGGAGAAAACUGAGGCCCGGAGCGAGGAAGUGACCUGUCCAGGUGUUUCCAUCGGGCCAGGUGGUUUCCUCGGCGAACCGUUCGGCGUUGCUGAAGACGCCCCUGGUUCUCCAGGCCCGGG